CACGGGGGUUGCGAGCGUUGUCCGGAAUUACUAGGCGUAAAGGGCAGGCAGGCGGGUCCAUAAGUUUAUCGUUUAAGGCCUCGGCUUAACCGGCGUAGGGCGGUAGAUACUGUGGAUCUGGAAUGCGGUUGGGGAAGACAGAAUUCCUGGUGUAGCGGUGGAAUGCGCAGAGAUCAGGAGGAAUACCGAAGGCGAAGGCAGUCUUCCAAGCCGUUAUUGACGCUCAACUGCGAAGGUGUGGGUAUCAAACAGGAUUAGAUACCCCGGUAGUCCCUGAGCGGG
rnacentral:rRNA from 1 species